rnacentral:rRNA from 1 species
UACGAAGGGGGCUAGCGUUGCUCGGAAUCACUGGGCGUAAAGGGUGCGUUGGCGGGUCUUUAAGUCAGGGGUGAAAUCCUGGAGCUCAACUCCAGAACUGCCUUUGAUACUGAGGAUCUUGAGUAUGGGAGAGGUGAGUGGAACUGCGAGUGUAGAGGUGAAAUUCGUAGAUAUUCGCAAGAACACCAGUGGCGAAGGCGGCUCACUGGCCCAUAACUGACGCUGAGGCACGAAAGCGUGGGGAGCAAACAGG